CAUUUGCUUGUUGAAAUGCCUUGACGUGGCGCAAAUGCUUUAAACUAAAAUUUCA
rnacentral:ribozyme from 1 species